UGGACGCAUCACUGGUGUUCGGGUUGUCAUGCCAUUGGCACUGCCCGGUAGCUAAAUGCGGAAGAGAUAAGUGCUGAAAGCAUCUAAGCACGAAACUUGCCCCGAGAUGAGUUCUCCCUGAGACUUAGAGUCUCCUGAAGGAACGUUGAAGACGACGACGUUGAUAGGCCGGGUGUGUAAGCGCAGCGAUGCGUUGAGCUAACCGGUACUAAUGAACCGUGAGGCUUAACCUUACAACGCCGAAG
rnacentral:rRNA from 1 species